GGGUAGCGCUACGGACUUAAAAUCCGUUGGCUUUAUAGACCAUGAGGGUUCAAGUCCCUCUACCCCCA
rnacentral:tRNA from 1 species